UUUGAUCUCUAGUUGGCAUAGAGACCCUCCUUUUAGGAGACUUGUGCCACUAAGAUCUAGGCUGCUUGAAAAGAGACGUAUGGACCCUUCUUUCAGGAGACCUAUGUCUCGAGUCAAAGCAAGCAAGGCAAGCCUUUGGGGCUCUAGUACUAACUAUCCCCAAAGGUGUUUAUUCUUCUCGUGUAAACCAUGAUGUACGAAAAAAGUUAGUUGUUAACUUAAAAAACAACUCUUGGCAAUGGAUCUCUUGGUUCUCGCAUCGAUGAAGAGCGUAGCAAAGUGCGAUAAUUAUUGCGACUUGCAUUCAUAGCGAAUCAUCGAGUUCUCGAACGCAUCUUGCGCCUAGUAGUCAAUCUACUAGGCACAGUUGUUUCAGUAUCUGCAACUACCAAUCAGUUCAACUUGGUUCUUUGAACCUAAGCGAGCUGGAAAUGGGCUUGUGUUGAUGGCAUUCAGUUGCUGUCAUGGCCUUAAAUACAUUUAGUCCUAGGCAAUUGGCUUUAGUCAUUUGCCGGAUGUAGACUCUAGAGUGCCUGAGGAGCAACGACUUGGUUAGUGAGUUCAUAAUUCCAAGUCAAUCAGUCUUCUCUUGAACUAGGUCUUA
rnacentral:rRNA from 1 species